CUACGGGGCGCAGCAGUGGGGAAUUUUGCGCAAUGGGGGAAACCCUGACGCAGCAAUACCGCGUGAGUGAAGAAGGCCUUUGGGUCGUAAAGCUCUUUUCUUGGGGAAGAUAGUGACGGUACCCAAGGAAUAAGCACCGGCUAACUCCGUGCCAGCAGCCGCGGUAAUACGGAGGGUGCAAGCGUUGUUCGGAUUUACUGGGCGUAAAGGGCACGUAGGCGGCACAGCAAGUUAAGGGUGAAAUCCCGGGGCUCAACUCCGGAACUGCUCUUAAAACUGCUGAGCUAGAGAUAGUCAGAGGCGGGUGGAAUUCCAGGUGUAGAGGUGAAAUUCGUAGAUAUCUGGAGGAACACCGGUGGCGAAGGCGGCCCGCUGGGGCUAUUCUGACGCUAAGGUGCGAAAGCGUGGGAAGCAAACGGGAUUAGAUACCCCUGUAGUC
rnacentral:rRNA from 1 species